rnacentral:rRNA from 1 species
GACGAACGCUGGCGGCGUGCUUAACACAUGCAAGUCGAACGGAAAGGCCCUGCUUUUGUGGGGUGCUCGAGUGGCGAACGGGUGAGUAACACGUGAGUAACCUGCCCUUGACUUUGGGAUAACUUAAGGAAACUGGGGCUAAUACCGGAUAGGAUCUCCUGCUGCAGGGUGGGGGUUGGAAAGUUUCGGCGGUUGGGGAUGGACUAGCGGAUCAUUGGCUUGAUGGUGGGGUAGUGGCUUACCAAGGCCUUGCCGGGUAGCCGGCCUGAGAGGGUGACCGGCCACAUUGGGACUGAGAUACGGCCCAGACUCCUACGGCAGGCAGCAGUGGGGAAUAUUGCACAAUGGGCGGAAGCCUAAUGCAGCAACGCCGCGUGCGGGAUGGCGGCCUUCGGGUUGUAAUCCGCUUGCGCCUGUGACGAAGCGUGAGUGACGGUAAUGGGUAAAGAAGCACCGGCUAACUACGUU